GACGGAGGAUGCAAGCGUUAUCCGGAAUGAUUGGGCGUAAAGCGUCCGCAGGUGGCAGUUCAAGUCUGCUGUCAAAGACCGGGGCUUAACUUCGGAAAGGCAGUGGAAACUGAACAGCUAGAGUAUGGUAGGGGCAGAGGGAAUUCCUGGUGUAGCGGUGAAAUGCGUAGAUAAUCAGGAGGAACAUCGAUGGCGAAGGCAGCCCCUUGGACCUGUACUGACGCUCAUGCACGAAAGCGUGGGGAGCAAACAGG
rnacentral:rRNA from 1 species